AACGCUGGAAAGAGGCGGGCCCGCAUUGCCGUGUCCAAAGCCUCGCCGAAGGAGCAAGCCGGCCCAUUGGGCGUCUGGCGGAAUCUCUCAGGCGCCGAGACAGCGGGGG
rnacentral:ncRNA from 1 species